UGCCCCCUGGCCCAGUUGGUUAAGGCGCACGACUGUUAGGUUGGGUUACCCGAAAGGCUGGAACCCAUCCAGGAAUCGUGAGAUCGAGAGUUCGAGCCUCUCGGGGGCAG